AAAAUCUUAAGUUAAGGUAAACUAGUAACCUUCAAAGUUAAAAUUAAAAUCAUUUAGAUUUUG
rnacentral:tRNA from 1 species